AGGAGAGUUUGAUCCUGGCUCAGGAUGAACGCUAGCUACAGGCUUAACACAUGCAAGUCGAGGGGCAGCAUGAAGUUUGCUUGCAAACUUUGAUGGCGACCGGCGCACGGGUGAGUAACGCGUAUCCAACCUGGCCCUUAGUAGGGGAUAGCCCGGCGAAAGUCGGAUUAAUACCCUAUGUUAUCCGAAGAGGACAUCUGAAUUGGAUUAAAGAUUCAUCGCUAAGGGAUGGGGAUGCGUCUGAUUAGGUUGUUGGCGGGGUAACGGCCCACCAAGCCUUCGAUCAGUAGGGGUUCUGAGAGGAAGGUCCCCCACAUUGGAACUGAGACACGGUCCAAACUCCUACGGGAGGCAGCAGUGAGGAAUAUUGGUCAAUGGACGAGAGUCUGAACCAGCCAAGUAGCGUGCAGGAUGACGGCCCUAUGGGUUGUAAACUGCUUUUAUGCGGGGAUAAAGUGAGGGACGUGUCCCUUUUUGUAGGUACCGCAUGAAUAAGGACCGGCUAAUUCCGUGCCAGCAGCCGCGGUAAUACGGAAGGUCCGGGCGUUAUCCGGAUUUAUUGGGUUUAAAGGGAGCGCAGGCUGAAGGUUAAGCGUGACGUGAAAUGUAGCCGCUCAACGGCUGAACUGCGUCGCGAACUGGCUUUCUUGAGUGAGUACGACGUCAGCGGAAUUCGUGGUGUAGCGGUGAAAUGCUUAGAUAUCACGAAGAACCCCGAUUGCGAAGGCAGCUGACGAGUCCUUUACUGACGCUAAAGCUCGAAGGUGCGGGUAUCGAACAGGAUUAGAUACCCUGGUAGUCCCCU
rnacentral:rRNA from 1 species